AUUGAACGCUGGCGGCAGGCCUAACACAUGCAAGUCGAACGAGUGGCGGACGGGUGAGUAAUGUCUGGGAAACUGCCCGAUGGAGGGGGAUAACUACUGGAAACGGUAGCUAAUACCGCAUACCAUCGGAUGUGCCCAGAUGGGAUGAGCUUGUAGGUGAGGUAACGGCUCACCUAGGCGACGAUCCCUAGCUGGUCUGAGAGGAUGACCAUCCACACUGGAAAUGAGACACGGUCCAGAGUCCUACGGUAGGCAGCAGUGGGGAAUAGUGCACAAUGGGCGGAAGCGUGAUGCAGCCAGGCCGGGUGUAUGAAGAAGGCCUUCGGGUUGUAAAGUACUUUCAGCGGGGAGGCGUUACCCGCAGAAGAGGCAUCGGCUAACUCCGUGCCAGAAGCCGCGGUAAUUC
rnacentral:rRNA from 1 species